CCCUUAGAUGUCCUGGGCCGCACGCGCGCUACACUGAGUGUCUGAGAUACGAGUCUGCCUGGUCCGGCAAGGUCUAGGUAAUCGCUAAAAGACACAUCAUGCUUGGGAUAGAUUAUUGCAAAUAUUAAUCUUGAACGAGGAAUUCCUAGUAAGCGCAAGUCAACAGCUUGCGUUGAUUACGUCCCUGCCCUUUGUACACACCGCCCGUCGCUACUACUGAUUGAGUGGUCCGGUGAGGCUUUGGGAUCUGAGCGGAAAGAGCGUUUCGCUGUUUCUGCUCGGAAAACUCAGUCGAACCUUAUCAUUUAGAGGAAGGAGAAGUCGUAACA
rnacentral:rRNA from 1 species